rnacentral:rRNA from 1 species
AUUGAACGCUGGCGGCAGGCCUAACACAUGCAAGUCGAACGGUAACAGGAAACAGCUUGCUGUUUCGCUGACGAGUGGCGGACGGGUGAGUAAUGUCUGGGAAACUGCCUGAUGGAGGGGGAUAACUACUGGAAACGGUAGCUAAUACCGCAUAACGUCGCAAGACCAAAGAGGGGGACCUUCGGGCCUCUUGCCAUCGGAUGUGCCCAGAUGGGAUUAGCUAGUAGGUGGGGUAACGGCUCACCUAGGCGACGAUCCCUAGCUGGUCUGAGAGGAUGACCAGCCACACUGGAACUGAGACACGGUCCAGACUCCUACGGGAGGCAGCAGUGGGGAAUAUUGCACAAUGGGCGCAAGCCUGAUGCAGCCAUGCCGCGUGUAUGAAGAAGGCCUUCGGGUGGUAAAGUACUUUCAGCGGGGAGGAAGGGAGUAAAGUUAAUACCUUGACUCAUUGACGUUACCCGCAGAAGAAGCACCGGCUAACUCCGUG